GGUUGAUACAAAACACAGGAUAUAAAUAGUGCUAUGUGAGAGAGAAGGGAGAUUUUUAAAAAGAUAACAAGACUACUGGAGGAGAAACUGUACAAGGCCAGUGCAGAAAGGCUGCAGAAGCACUGGGGAGAGAGCUGAGGGGAGGAAGCCACUGGCAACAGGGAUCGAACUCAGGACCUUGAACUCACCAGCCAGGCAUGGUGCCACUAAGCUACAUCCCUGGCCCUGUUUGUAAUUCUUUUAGAACAUGACAUUUCUCUGACCCAAUUCCAAAUUAUGACACACAUCCAAUUGAAUCCUGCAGCCUCUACACUCUGCUUACAACCUGGCCUUCAAGUGUCUAGAGUCCUUUCAUUCUAGAUCCCAGGGAAGGUUUCCCUGGCAAGAAUCUCUGUCAUCCAGUUCCUGAAUUCCUGCACCUAGAAAAAGAAGACAAUGUUUGCAGUGAUGUCCUAGAUCUGUCUUUUGCCAUCUGGCAGAUAGCCCGAUACCAUCUGGCAAAUCAAGGAUGAUGUCAAACAGUCUAGGGCCUUCCCUUCCAAUCUUCUGUUUCUACAUUUGUUAGAACUUUGAGUGUGGAAAGUAUGAGAAUAUCCUAACCAAACCCAGCAGUUUAUUGAUUCAUUAUAACUGUGUCUGUG
rnacentral:lncRNA from 1 species